AGUCAGGAAGUGGAUUUUCAUCCGAUUUCCUACUUCUGUUGGUCAGAUGCACCCAAGUUAGCUGCCCCUCACUGCAAAGGCUUCCACCUCAAUAUGCAGUAGCAGCCACUACUCACAGCUGAUCUGCAGGCCUCAGCACAUGAUGGGUGCUUUCCAGCCCAGCCUAACAAUAGCAUAAGGGAAAGACAAGUAGUAAGACAUGCCACAUUACCAAGAACAGGACGACAGGUUGCUUGCUUGAGC